AAGAAAUGCAAGGCUGAAGUGGCAUUGACAAAGAAGGAAAAAGCUAGUAAGAAUUCUGGAGCUCCAAAGCGUCCUCCUACUGCAUUCUUCAUUUUCAUGGCUGAUUUUAGGAAGAGCUAUAAGGAGAAUUUUCCUGAAAAUAAAUCUGUUGCUGUGGUCGGGAAAGCUGGUGGUGAGAAAUGGAAGGCGAUGUCUGAAUUUG